rnacentral:rRNA from 1 species
UGGUGGAGUGAUUUGUCUGCUUAAUUGCGAUAACGAACGAGACUUUGACCCUUAAAUAGCCCGGUUAGCUUUGGCUGAUCGCUGGCUUCUUAAGGGACUAUUAACUUAAGUUAAUUGAGGUGCAAAGCAAUAACA